rnacentral:rRNA from 1 species
ACGGCUCAGUAACACGUGGAUAACCUGCCCUCAGAUCUGGCAUAACCCCGGGAAACUGGGGAUAAUUCCGGAUAACGCAUAUGUGCUGGAAUGCUUUAUGCGUCAAAGGUCCUCCGCCUGAGGAUGGGUCUGCGGCCUAUCAGGUAGUAGCGGGUGUAAUGUACCUGCUAGCCGACGACGGGUACGGGUUGUGAGAGCAAGAGCCCGGAGAUGGAUUCUGAGACAUGAAUCCAGGCCCUACGGGGCGCAGCAGGCGCGAAAACUUUACAAUGCGGGAAACCGUGAUAAGGGGACACCGAGUGCCAGCAACAUUUGCUGGCUGUCCACGUGCGUAAAAUGCACGUGUUAGCAAGGGCCGGGCAAGACCGGUGCCAGCCGCCGCGGUAACACCGGCGGCCCGAGUGGUGAUCGUUAUUAUUGGGUCUAAAGGGUCCGUAGCCGGUUUGGUCAGUCUUCCGGGAAAUCUGUCAGCUUAACUGAUAGGCUAUCGGGGGAUACUGCUAGACUUGGAACCGGGAGAGGUAAGAGGUACUACAGGGGUAGGAGUGAAAUCUUGUAAUCCCUGUGGGACCACCUGUGGCGAAGGCGUCUUACCAGAACGGGUUCGACGGUGAGGGACGAAAGCUGGGGGCACGAACCGGAUUAGAUACCCGGGUAGUCCCAGCCGUAAACGAUGCUCGCUAGGUGUCAUGCAUGGUGCGACCGUGUAUGGUGCCGUAGGGAAGCCGUGAAGCGAGCCACCUGGGAAGUACGGCCGCAAGGCUGAAACUUAAAGGAAUUGGCGGGGGAG